GCAAACUGCGCGUCGCCAUGUGAACUGCAGGACACAUGAUCAUUGACAUGUUGAACGCAUAUUGCGCCUUAUACAUUUGGUUCCUCAUAUAUAUUUUGUGUGUCGGACUGUAUAAGGUACAUAUGGUUGAGUGUCGUAAUUUCAUAUGAUUGCAACUACAAGUAUUGUGUGUGUGUGUGUUUGUAAUAUAACACUCAUCAAUACAUAAUAGAGUGUCAUUAAAGCCGUUUCUCGUAAACGAUUUAUGACUAAAAUGCUAAUCUAAUGUCAGUUUACGCCUAUUUUUUAUUUUUCUAAAUAAAAAUGGGGGGAAGAGUGAAAAGCUUCUUCAAAAUUCGCACAUAUUUGAUUGUGAUGUGAGUCUUGUGAGUUAAUUUUCAUUGAAAAUUUCUCUCUUUGGCGCUAACUUUACCACAAAUAGUUUUGUUAGUUGCUGUAUCAUGACUCUUGUAAUCAUAAUUGUAUAAAAAAGUAUGUGAAUAACGAUUUUGUGAGUAUAAUAAGUAAUUCUUUCUAAUGUGAUACUGAAGAGUUAAUAAG
rnacentral:rRNA from 1 species